rnacentral:misc_RNA from 1 species
UUAUGGUCUGAUGCUCAGCAAUUGUCCAAUGCCUAUAUGUAUUUACAAGUAAGAUUUGUCAAGUAUUUUGCAUCUUACGCUGCUCCUAGUAUUUGUCUGAUUCAGAUAUAUCCCAAGGAAAUGGCUUAUAAGAACUAGAAGAUGAUAUCUUUUGUCGCAACGUAUUUUACGGUCGCUAGGCCAUUCACACCGAAGUGGAAAAAGUGUCGAGUCGCCACUCUAAUUUUUGUGGGGAAAAAUAGAGAAAACCUUUUAUUUUGAAAUUUUUUUGACUUAAAAAAAUAAUUAUAAUACACUUCUAUUUCAGAGAUUCAAGGUUCGAGGCCCUUAUGCGUGUAGGGAUUAGGCAUCCCAUAUCAUCCUAAAAGGGUAGAUAGAUUUAAGUAUGUGCUCAAAUAAAUUAAUGCCAAUUAUUUGAAAUAAAGCUUAAUUUAUAAUAUAUGUUCCUUGUUUUGAUUGGAAAGGAAAAA